UACAAAAAGAAAUAAAAUCUACAUUCAUAUAACUUUCAUAUACAUCCCAUUUUUAAUACAGGCUACAUCAGAGUCGCUCUUGCGCGCAGAUCUAAGUAACGAAGCAUUUUUAUCUCUCUUUUAUCGGUUUUCAUAGAUCAUAACCUUUUUGUUUUUUAAAUUCUAAGUUCCAAAUAGAAAUGAAAAAAGAAAAAUAAUAAGAACGAAAAUCUGCUGAUAUAUGGAAGGGAAAAAAAAUCAGGUUUCUGUGGGAAUAAAAAAGCCAGAAAGCUAAGUAGAUAACUUUGAGCAUUCUGAAUGUAUCCUUUACGGUUGAAUGAAUUAAAAGUUAUCUCUCUCCAAACCAAUUUUGAAACUACUCCACUCCUUACCUU
rnacentral:lncRNA from 1 species